GGAGGAUAAGCAAGAACCAGCUUUUAGAAAGCUGGUGAAAAAAAAAGCUGUUUCAGCCUCAAGCCUAUGAUAUUUCUGAGGUUUUUUGAUCCUCAUUUCCUUGCUCACAGGUGAAAGUGGUUUCCAUUUUUAGGUAAAAAGAUUCAGGCACCCCAAAGGAGGAAAGGGAAGCAGGAUCUGGCAAUGCCUUUCCAAGCAUGCUUUUUAACCCCCAGUUCCAUGCCCUGCAUGCAGUCACCUCAGCAGGACAGUGGUGCAGAGGCAGUGCUGGAACACAGGCUGGUGCCACAUUGCUGCUCCCUGCUCCUGCUGCCAUGUGUCACAGCCCAGGCUGCUAGGGCUGAUAGGCACUGUGUCCUAGGCUGGGGCCUCACCUGGAGUGCUAAUGGCAGUCCUGUCCAGAAGUGUCUUUGCGCACCUCCAGAAAGCUGCUCUUCUUCCUGAGGAACACUGUGGAUAAGUGACUGGUUACCAAUGGCAGAAGGCAAAAAGAGGGAAGUGCUAUAUGUUGUGUAUUUAAAUGUAAGCAACAGCAUGUGAUGAACUGAAAGUUUCAUGGCUGAGCACCUCAGAAGACAGUGUUGUCUAGUGUGUAAAUUCUUCAGUGGUGAAUGUCAGCUUACUGUGACCUGGCACAUACCUGGGCCACGCCUGUCUUCAGCUAAGGAAGAAGUUAUUACACUUGAGCAGCUUUAAAGAUGAGCUAACCUGUGGGCUCCAAACUGCAGCCUCUGUGAUGCUCAUUCAUGCACCCUGAUUUUGUACUGCACCUUGUUUGAAAGGGAAAUAGGAUCAUAGGUGGGAAUUUCCCAUCACACACAUGGAGCACGUGAUUGGAAUUCAUCAAUGUCAUUUGUAGCAGCUACCCUCAAGUUCAGCAGCCUGUCAAAGGCAGUGCAGCAGGCAUUAACCUGGUGUUUGUCUGAUGGCCUUAACAGCAAGGAGUGGUGGCUGGGGGAUGUGGGCAUUGCUGUGCUACUGCUGCAGUGCAUUUAUUAUCAUUAAUAUAGUAUUGCUAGUGAAAGUAAAAUCCAGUGUAGAGUAGUGGGAAAAAGCAAGUCAAAAUUCCUUAGAAAUGCUUAAUAUGGUGACAAAUGUAACACAAGUAAAACAUUAUUAUUGCACUAUGUUUUGUUCCUUGUAAAUUGAUAUUGCACUGUUGUUUUUUAAGGGACUUGUUUACAUGACCAGAAUAUGCAUUAUAUGGACUUUGCAGUAAAUAAGGGUGGUAGGCUGGUACACAGAUAUGACCUGUGCACCCUGUCUACUAGCAUCUUCUUUGUCAGAGAUGUUUUACUGCAGUCCUGAGUCUUGAAACACUUUUUCUUAUUUUAAUUUUGUCUGUAAUUGUACCAUUUCAGUUAAGUUUUGCCUGAAUUCACACUGGAAUUGUGAACAGGAUCAAAGUCUGUGGUGUAAUUAAACCAAUCCCGCUCACAAGAAUGCAAUCUCUUUUCUGAAAGCUACUUCUCAUAUAUACAAAAUGAGCUUACUUGUAUGUACUCACGUCAUCUGUUUCCCAUUAUGCAUGCUUUGAGACCUGUAUAUGAGGAAAUAUUAAGUAAAAUAUUUUUAUUAGACAUUUUAAAGUACAUAAGAAAAUGGAGAAAGUACUGAGAUAUAAGGCAAUAGGUUAAGCAAUCUUACUGUACCCAAGGCAGCAUUUGCACCCUAUCUCAGAUGGUGAGACAGUGGGGCUGCACAAUUUCAGAUUUUUCCUGCAAUGACUGCAGCCGGCUCCAUGGUGAUAGGUUAAACUUGAAUUUUGUAACCAAAGAAGACAGAUUCACUCUGGAGCCUGAACAUUGCACUCUAUGACUCUCAGAUAGUCUCUCUGAAGGUUUGCUUUCUCUACAAGUCUUUCUGAAGACACUGUUGAUCGCUCUAACUACAAAAUGACUAUGCAAAUGUGGGCUGGUAUCCUUAUAAAAAUGCUACUUCACAGCUGCUAUUAAACUAGUAGUGUUGGUAUGGGAUUGUGCUUGGAUUCUUAGACUUAUUUUCAUCAUAAUUCUACAAUUUGGGCUUUUUGAAUAUAGCAAAUCUUUGUUGCUCACGUUUCUAUGCUUGAGGAUGCUGGUGUUUGGAGCACCCAUAAGGGCAUUUUGUGCUCUUAUGGGUGUUCCAUAGUCCUAUAAACAUGGCUAUAUUUUUCAGUGCUCUGAGGCGUUCUCAUUUUUAUUGCCAGUAGGAUUUUUGCAUGUAGCAAAAAUACUGUAGCUUUCUGUACCCCAAUUUUCAGCAAUACCUGUCUUGUAUUGCCAAGUGAAAAAUAAAUCAAAUUGCCGAAGUUUUGCUGAACUGCAGGAGACCAGAGUGUAAGAAAUAUCAUAGUGGAGAAUGCAGGCAGUUGGAAUGAUGCACCAUAAUCUGUACUUGUUAAUUAAACAAUCACAGCUAGAGGUGACAUUAGAACUUUACCUGAUUAUCAGCAACAGCAUAUUUACAAGUAAGAAUUAUGCCUUUAAAAAGCUUUUUAAAAAUGGGAAAAUUGUUUUAACAAAUGUGCUGCUGCACUGGCA